GGAAAUGGAAUUUAUUAGAAUUUCACUUCUAUUACAAGCUUUUUAUGUGUGGCCUAGUCAGUCCAAAUGAUCUUCACAUUUUGAAAGGUUUGGAAUUCAUUAAAAGAAAACAAAGUAUCAGCCACACUGCUGCUUUGCCAAACUAGUAAGUAAACAAAAAAUCCAAAUGAAGCAGUUUAAUACUUAGACUUAAAUGAGAGAGAAACUCCACAGAGUUAAGUAAAGCAUAAAAUGGAUAUUUCCACUAAGGCUAUCUUAACUGAAGCAGCUAUUUUUUUUUUAAGACAAAAUUAAUGUAAUUCUGGCUUAAUUUAGUUUUGUUUUAUCAAGUCAGCAGAGUUAAUUCUAUGUCAAUAAAAAAAGAAACUCAAGCUGUGCAAAUCAUUUUACACUCUAUGUGAAUUUCUGGAGGAAAUACUGAAAACAUAUUUAAAUUGCACCAUAGGAACUGUGAGUACAUUUAAUUUUACAUUUUAAAAAAUGUCAUUUGUGUUUCUUGGAGAAUAAAACAGAUCCAAACAAAACAAACCAUUCCAUAAUUCAGUGUUUGGGACACAGUGGGUUACAAAUUGAAGAAAUUCUCUCCCAGGCCAAAAACAAACACUGCCUAACAUAUUGUUCUUCCAAUCGAUACCAGACUCAGCAAUGCUGGGGGUUUGUGGCUGCCCAUUUCCUCUCCAGCAGCGUAAGGCUUGCUAAUAUGAUAAGAUCAACCAAACAGAAGCUGUGCAGUUAUUUAUCUAUGGGAAUCACCCCCACAAACUAAUGGUAAAUGGUUAUUAAUUCAGGAGUGGAAAAGUUUGAGGUACUCUUCUUUGUGGUUAUUCUGUAAGACUUUUUUAGACCAAAACGUAAUAGUUUGGAGUAAUCUGUGCUCAAGAUUUCUGGGUUAAGCUGUAAAAUAUUUAGCUGUCAUAAAAUGAUGAACAUGUUUGGUCUAUUAAUUAUAAGUGUCCCAUUGCAUGGUCCCUCUACUUUGAUUAAAUCAUGUGACUAAUCAAGGUGAAACCGGAGACAACUGACCUUUAAAAGUAGUUUCACAUUAAAUCUAUCUGGGCUAUAAUUCUCUCUCAUUUUAGCAGAGCAUAUUUCAGUACUUAUGAAUAUUUUAGAGUUCUAAAAUAUUUUAGACUUUUCUCCCUUUAGUGAAAGAGCUAUCCUGAAAUUAAUUAAAAAAAAUUUUUUUUGUAACAAGCAUGGUCCAUACACCUAGCUAGAGGCAAUUCAGACAGUAAGUAAUCCUAAUGUCCUAAUGUACACCUGUAGGUAGGAACUGUUUACAGCAUUAGAUGCAUCAAAAGUGACAGAGUGAUAAGGAUUGUAUCUGAAUUGGGGCUGAGGAUCUAAGACCUUGUCUAGUAGGAGAGUUGCUUCAAAUGGCACUUGAGGGCAAGGUUGAUAGUGAAGUUCUAUUCUGAUUUCUAGAAGAAAUAUGUGAUUCAGUGGGGGAAGCUUCUUCAUAUCCAUGUUUUAGAAAAAUAAAUACUGUAGACCCUUACUAUGUUCUUUUACG
rnacentral:lncRNA from 12 species